AGCCCAUUCCUCAAGCUAGGGAAUCGCUGCACCUCGGUGGGGCGUCCUCCCCGGCWCAAUAACGAACCCCGGCGCGGACUGCGCCAAGGAACAUGAAUACAAGCGUGCCCUUCCGCAACCGGUUGCCGGUCGCGGACGUGGCACCAAGUCGUAUAUAACAUUAAACGACUCUCGGCAACGGAUAUCUCGGCUCUCGCAUCGAUGAAGAACGUAGCGAAAUGCGAUACUUGGUGUGAAUUGCAGAAUCCCGUGAACCAUCGAGUCUUUGAACGCAAGUUGCGCCCGAAGCCUUUAGGUCGAGGGCACGCCUGCCUGGGCGUCACGCAUCGCGUCUCCCCCCACCACCHCGUGUGGAUGGGGAGGAGGAUGAUGGCCUCCCAUGCCUCACCGGGCGUGGAUGGCCUAAAUAAGGAGCCCCCGGUUACGAAGUGCCGCGGCGAUUGGUGGAAUACAAGGCCUAGCCUAGGAUGAAACGGUAAUCGCGCACAUCGUAGCUCUUGAGGACUCGCAGGACCCUUACUUGUUUGCCCUUAGGGGCGGCAAAACCGUUGCDACCCCAGGUCAGGCGGGGCUACCCGCUGAGUUUAAGCAUAUCAAUAAGCGGAGGAAAAGAAACUUACAGGGAUUGCCCCAGUAACGGCG
rnacentral:rRNA from 1 species